GGGACGAACGCUGGCGGCGUGCUUAACACAUGCAAGUCGAGCGGAAAGGCCCUUCGGGGUACUCGAGCGGCGAACGGGUGAGUAACACGUGAGCAACCUGCCCCUGGCUCUGGGAUAGCUCCGGGAAACCGGGAUUAAUACCGGACAUGACCUUCCGCGGCAUCGCGGCGGGUGGAAAGUUUUUCGGCCAGGGAUGGGCUCGCGGCCCAUCAGCUUGUUGGCAGGGUAAUGGCCUACCAAGGCGACGACGGGUA
rnacentral:rRNA from 1 species